CUCCCAGCCCUGACUCCUGGCAACCGCUGGUCUGCUCUUCAUCGCCCUAGCUUUGUCUUUCAAGAAUGCUGUGUAAAUGGAAUCAUACAACACAUAACCUUUUGAGACUGGCUUCUUUCACUCAGUUGUUCCAUGUAUCAGUGAUGUUGGUUGGCCUCAUCUCCCCAAGCUGUCUAGAAGCUGCUUAAGGGCAGGCCCCACAACUGGUUGGUUCAUCUCUAUGUCCGCAGUGCAAAACGUCGCAUCUCUUAAGGCAAUUAGUGUCUGUCCGAAUUCUUGGGGAAGCUGAGGAAACCAGGGCUGUGACUGUAAUAUUCUGCUGUACCUAUGAUCUGUGCCCAUGAUGCUCUGCUGUAUCCAUGAUGCUGUGCCCAUGAUGCCAUGUCAUGCUCUCUGUACCUUGCCAUGCCUGUGACACUAUGCCCUCUCCCUGGGAUUCUGCAGUCUUCCUGGCUGCUCUAGAAGCCAGGGAGAUUCCACCCCAUGUAAAAUGCUCCUGGGGUGGCCUGCUGACCUGGAUUCUCCUCUCAACAUCUUGAGCCCAACCACCUCUGCUGUCAAACUACACAUGGCCCAGGUGACUUCUCUCACAAAUGGGAGAGGGAAUCAGAGCAUUUCAUAGUCAGAGCAGAGGCCCUGGGGAGAUGCCCAUCUGCAGCAGACUUGGGACAACUGAUCCAAUUCAAGUCCAUCAUUGUGCAGAGUGGGAUUGUGAGCCUCAGAGUGGAGAGAAGAUUCAUCCAACUGUGGGUUCGGUGCCAGCCAGAGUGGGACUCCACCCUGACUCCCAGUUCAGAGCUCAUUUUGGUGGGGGGUCCUGAAGUUCUACCAUCAUAGUUACCCCUUGCUUGGGUCUCCAAAAUGUCCCUGUUCCAAUGUAUAUCUGUUACUUAAAUAACACAUUUGCAACAUAGCUAUCAGAGGGGUUGGUUUUUAUUUAGAAAGAAGCUAAUAAGUUAUAUUUUAUUUAUUAUAAAGACAAAAUUGUAACAGCACAAAUGAAAAUAUUAUUAAUAAAAGAAAUUCUUUCUGCCACCCUAAUCAUGUUUCAUUUGUUCACAUUACUUAAUGUCAUUCUAACAUACACACUUUAUGUGUACAUUUAUGCGUACAGCUGUAACCUUUUUAUAUACAUUUUAUCAUCUUUUUUCACUCAAUGUUUAUUUUUUCUAUUUUUAAGGAGCUGAAUUCAGAAGACAAUGUUAUACAUUUAUAUAGCUUUCUACCUUCUGCACAGUAUUUCAUCAAGUAAGUAAACCAUGACACCUUCAUAGUUUUUGUAUCAUGAAAUAUUUUAAUCAUACAGAAAAUCGCAAGGAACAAU
rnacentral:lncRNA from 1 species